AAGUCGUAACAAGGUCUCCGUUGGUGAACCAGCGGAGGGAUCAUUACUGAGUGUUACAACUCCCUAACCCUUUGUGUGAAUCUUACCUAUCGUUGCUUCGGCGGGAUCUGCCACGGCGCCCCUGCGGCGCCCGGGCACCCCGCCGGAGGCCCAAAACUCUUGCUUCUCUCAAGUGGUUUUCUCUGAGUGGCAUAAGCAAAAUUAAAUUAAAACUUUCAACAACGGAUCUCUUGGUUCUGGCAUCGAUGAAGAACGCAGCGAAAUGCGAUAAGUAAUGUGAAUUGCAGAAUUCAGUGAAUCAUCGAAUCUUUGAACGCACAUUGCGCCCGCCAGUAUUCUGGCGGGCAUGCCUGUUCGAGCGUCAUUUCAACCCUCAAGCCCCCUUCCGGGUUUGGCGUUGGGGAUCGGCCCCGCCCCGGCGGCCGGCCCCGAAAACUAGUGGCGGUCACGCCGCAGCUUCCUCUGCGUAGUAGCAACACCUCGCACUGGGAUGCGGCGCGGCCACGCCGUUAAUCAGACGAAUCAUUUCUGAAGGUUGACCUCGGAUCAGGUAGGAAUACCCGCUGAACUUAA
rnacentral:rRNA from 1 species